rnacentral:misc_RNA from 1 species
CAUUAUUGUAAUAUUAUUAAAAUUCCCCCUACGCAGAAGUGCAUCAGAGCUACAGGGUCUUCACAGCAGUGCUACGAGGAGAUCGGAUCUGCUCUACGAGUUCAUCGGUGCAGAGCUACGAGGUCAUCGGAGCAGAGCAACGACUUCGUCGCAGCAGGUCUACGGAGUCAGCGGAGCAGAGCUACGAGAUCAUCAGAGCAGGUCUACGGAGUCAUCGGAGCAGAGCUACGAGAGCACCGCAUCGGAGCGCUACACGGCGUGAUCUUCGA